rnacentral:tRNA from 2 species
AAAGAUAAUAUGAAUUAAAUUGUCAAUUUAUUUUUUCUUUUUAGUUUAUCUUAA